UACGUAGGGUGCAAGCGUUGUCCGGAAUUAUUGGGCGUAAAGAGCUCGUAGGCGGUCUGUCGCGUCUGCUGUGAAAACUCAGGGCUUAACCCUGAGCUUGCAGUGGGUACGGGCAGACUAGAGUGCGGUAGGGGAGACUGGAAUUCCUGGUGUAGCGGUGAAAUGCGCAGAUAUCAGGAGGAACACCGGUGGCGAAGGCGGGUCUCUGGGCCGAUACUGACGCUGGAGGAGCGGAAAGCGUGGGGAGCGAACAGG
rnacentral:rRNA from 1 species